rnacentral:tRNA from 2 species
AGCCGGGUGGUCGAGUGGUUAGGCCGAGAUCUGCAAAAUCUUUUACGAUGGUUCGAUUCCAUCCCCGGCGU